rnacentral:rRNA from 3 species
GCAUAAUAAUUUGUCUUUUAAUUAAAGACUGGAAUGAAUGGAACUACGAGAGUUAAGCUGUUUCCCCCUUAUAAAUAAAAAUUAACCUGUAAGUGAAGAGGCUUAUAUAUAAUAAAAAGACAAAAAGACCCUAUUGAGCUUUACUACACCUCAAGUUUUCCUUGUUAGUAGUUUUGUUGGGGCAACAAGAGAGGAACUUUAUCUUCUCUAAUAUCUUAAACUAAUACAGAUCCGCUAUGCGAUUAUUAGAAAAAGCUACCAUAGGGAUAACAGGCUAAUCCUUCUUAAGAGAUCAAAUUGACAGAAGGGU